rnacentral:rRNA from 1 species
CCUACGGGUGGCAGCAGUGGGGAAUAUUGGUCAAUGGAGGCAACUCUUAACCAGCAAUGCCGCGUGAAUGAAGAAGGUCUUCGGAUUGUAAAGUUCUUUAUUUGGGGACGAAAAAAGUGACGGUACCCAAGUAAUAGAGCCAGGCUAACUACGGGACAGCAGCCGCGUUAAUACGUAGGGGCCGAGAGUUGUUCGGAAUGGCUGGGCGUAAAGGGUGUUUAGGUGGUGUAGCAAGUUAGAAGUGAAAUACCUAGGGCUUAACUCAGGUGCUGCAGCUCAAACUGGUUGGCUUGAGUGCAGUAGAGGAAAGUGGAACUCGUAGUGUAGCGGUGGAAUGCGUAGAUAUUAGGAAGAACAUCAGUGGCGAAGGCGACUUUCUGGACUGUAACUGACGCUGAGGCACGAAAGUGUGGGGAGCAAACAGGAUUAGAUACCCGGGUAGUC